rnacentral:rRNA from 1 species
UACGAAGGGGGCUAGCGUUGCUCGGAAUGACUGGGCGUAAAGGGCGCGUAGGCGGAUUGUACAGUCAGGCGUGAAAUUCCCGGGCUCAACCUGGGGGCUGCGCUUGAGACGUGCGAUCUUGAGUGGGGGAAGAGGGGUCGUGGAAUUCCCAGUGUAGAGGUGAAAUUCGUAGAUAUUGGGAAGAACACCGGUGGCGAAGGCGGCGACCUGGUCCUUGACUGACGCUGAGGCGCGAAGCGUGGGGAGCAAACAGG